CAGCAAAGAAACAGGUCACUCCCAGGACACAGAACUUCUUGAAAUUCUGCAUUGGCUUCUCCCUAACUCCCAAGUCUCAUAUACAUGCUUCUCAUCAAUACAGUUUAAAUAGGAACCUUGCUGACAGGAAAUGUGGAAAAUAUACUUUCCAAAAUUCUAGUCUCUGAAAAUAGAAGAGAGGCAUGAAGGAGAAACAGCACCAAGUUACUAACAUGCUGCUGCUGCUGCUAAGUCACUUCAGUCGUAUCUGACUCCGGAUGACCCCAGAGAUGGCAGCCCACCAGGCUCCCCCAUCCCUGGGAUUCUCCAGGCAAGAACGCUGGAGUGGAUUGCCAUUUCCUUCUCCAAUGCAUGAAAGUGAAAAGUGAAAGUCAAGUGUGACUCAUAGCGACCCCAUGGACUGCAGCCUACCAGGCUCCUCCGCCCAUGGGAUUUUCCAGGCAAGAGUGCUGGAGUGGGGUGCCAUUGCCUUCUCCAAAGUUACUAACAUAGAAUCCUUCAAAUGACGUGACGUGACUGGCAUGGACUCUCUCUUCCUCCCUCCCUCCCUUCUCUGGAAUUACGGAGAUCCUGAAUGUCACUGCUGGCCACUGCAACACCACUGUUGGCCACUGCAACACCACUGUUCACCUGGCUCCCAAAAUCCCUGCGCAGAGCAAGAGCC
rnacentral:lncRNA from 1 species